UGUGGGAGCGAGCCUGCUCGCGAUAGCAGUGUGUCAGUCACUGUACAUGUGGCUGAUCCGACGCCAUCGCGAGCAGGCUCGCUCCCACA
rnacentral:antisense_RNA from 1 species